rnacentral:snRNA from 1 species
CGUUCAUUUCAGCAGUACCUUAUUCUAAAAUUGGAAUGACAUGGAGAUUAGCACGGAGGAUGACAUGCAAAUUCAUGAAGAAUUCCACAUUUUU